GGGGGCGUGGCGGAAUCGGCAGACGCACCGGACUUAAAAUCCGGGUCCUGACGGAGUGUGGGUUCGAAUCCCACCGCCCCUA
rnacentral:tRNA from 1 species